GUAGGUGGCAAGCGUUGUCCGGAAUUAUUGGGGCGUAAAGCGCGCGCAGGCGGUUCUUUAAGUCUGAUGUGAAAGCCCACGGGCUCAACCGUGGAGGGUCAUUGGAAACUGGAGAACUUGAGUACAGAAGAGGAAAGCGGAAUUCCACGUGUAGCGGUGAAAUGCGUAGAGAUGUGGAGGAACACCAGUGGCGAAGGCGGCUUUCUGGUCUGUAACUGACGCUGAGGCGCGAAAGCGUGGGGAGCAAACAGGAUUAGAUGCCCUGGUAGUCCACGCCGUAAACGAUGAGUGCUAAGUGUUAGGGGGUUUCCGCCCCUUAGUGCUGCAGCUAACGCAUUAAGCACUCCGCCUGGGGAGUACGGCCGCAAAGGCUG
rnacentral:rRNA from 1 species